rnacentral:rRNA from 1 species
UGAUAAGCGAGUAAGGGCACAUAGAGAAUGCCUAGGUACCAAGAGCCGAAGAAGGACGUGGUUGACUGCGAAAAGCUUCGAGGAGUCGUCAGCAGGCGUUAUAACUCGAAGAUAUCCGAAUGGGGAAACCCGGCAGAGCUAAUCCUCUGUCAUCCUUAGUUGAAUACAUAGGCUAAGGAAGGUAAGCGGGUGAACUGAAACAUCUAAGUAACCCGAGGAAAAGAAAGUAUUCUGUGAGUAGUGGCGAGCGAAAGCGGAACAGCCCAAACCGGGUGGUACGCCACCUGGGGUUGUAGGACUUCGCAUGUGGAGUGAUAAAUUGGUUAAUUAGCAGAACUCAUCUGGAAAGGUAGACCAUAGAGGGUGAUAGUCCCGUAUGUGAAAAUUAACUAACUCCGCGAAGUAUCCUGAGUACCACGGGACACGUGAAACCCUGUGGGAAUCUGGGGAGCCCACUUCCCAAGGCUAAAUACUCUUGGUGACCAAUAGUGGACAAGUACCGUGAGGGAAAGGUGAAAAGAACGGCCGUGAGCCGAGUGAAAUAGAACCUGAAACUAUGUGCCUACAAGCAGUCGAAGCACGAUACACAUGAUGUGUUAGUGUGACGGCGUGCCUUUUGGAGAAUGAACCAACGAGUUACUCCUCUGUGGCGAGGUUAAGAUAAUAACAAUCGGAGCCGUAGCGAAAGCGAGUCUGAAUAGGGCGAUGAGUCGCAGGGGGUAGACACGAAACCUGGUGAGCUAACCAUGGUCAGGUUGAAGCGAGAGUAAUGCCUCGUGGAGGACCGAACGGUUGUAUGUUGAAAAAUGCUCCGAUGAACUGUGGUUAGAGGUGAAAUGCCAAGCGAACCAGGAGAUAGCUUGUUCUCCCCGAAAUAGCUUUAGGGCUAGCGUUCGGUAAUUGCUUAUCGGAGGUAGAGCACUGGAUUGGCUAGGGGGCGAAAAGCUUACCAAACCAAACUAAACUCCGAAUGCCGAUAAGUUUAUCCGGGCAGUUGGACUGUGGGAGAUGAGUUCCAUGGUCGAAAGGGAAACAGCCCAGACCGUCAGCUAAGGUCCCCAAGUACAGGCUAAGUGGGAAAGGUUGUGAGAUUACUGAGACAUCCAGGAGGUUGGCUUAGAAGCAGCCAUCCUUUAAAGAGUGCGUAAUAGCUCACUGGUCUAGUGAUGUUGCGCCGAAAAUGUAACGGGGCUCAAGUCUGUCACCGAAGCUACGGGUUUAGAGGAAAGGAAUACGGAGUUGGAAAUUAGGAGUUAGAAGCAAUUCUAAUACCCUAAUCUCUAAUCUUUAAUUCCUGACCCUGAGCGGUAGGGGAGCGUUCUGUUAGAGAAACAAGGCAUACUGUAAAGAGUGACUGUGGCUAACAGAAGUGAGAAUGUUGGUAUGAGUAGCGAAAGAGAUGUGAGAAUCAUCUCCACCGGAAGUCUAAGGUUUCCACCGGAAGGUCAAUCCGCGGUGGGUUAGUCGGGCCUAAGCCGAGGCCGAGAGGCGUAGGCGAUGGACAACAGGUUAAUAUUCCUGUACUAGCAUUGUGGAGUGAUGGUAGGACGCAGUGAGGUAGACCAGCCAGCAGAUGGCGUUUGGUGCUGAGCGUGUAGGACAAGGAUCCGUAUAGGAAAAACCGUGCGGGGAGUCUGAGGCGUUGUAUGCGAAGACCAAAAUGGUCGCAAGUGGUUAAUCCAUGCUGCCAAGAAAAGUACCUAAACUUUGAAGCAAUGCUACCCGUACCGCAAACCGACACAGGUAGACAAGUAGAGAAUACUAAGGUGAACGAGAGAACCUUCGUUAAGGAAUUCGGCAAAAUUGAUCCGUAACUUAGGGAUAAGGAUCGCCCUUUUGAGUGAAGUCGCUUGCCGAUGGAGCUUAGGGGGGCCGCAGAGAAUAGGCCCUGUCGACUGUUUAACAAAAACACAGGUCUCUGCUAACUCGUAAGAGGAAGUAUAGGGGCUGACACCUGCCCAGUGCCGGAAGGUUAAAAGGAGGCGUUAGCGAAAGCAAAGCGUUGAAUUGAAGCCCCGGUGAACGGCGGCCGUAACUAUAACGGUCCUAAGGUAGCGAAAUUCCUUGUCGGGUGAAAGUAUCGGAAAAUGCCCGAAAUGUGAAGUGAUUCGCAUUCAGUAAACUGGCUAAUAUCGGGGAAGGCUAACUCUUGAUUGUUAUAAAUCAGAUAUGCUAAUCCCGAGGCAAUCUUACUACUACAUAAGUAGUGGGGGAGCCGUAACGACUGAUUCGAAAGAUGAGAUUUGUCUUGUAUUGUCAGGAUGAAUAAUACGCCAGCUCUUAUUUAGUAGAAGGUAUCUAUGGAUUUUGCAUCGUAUAUUACCGGGUUUACAGAUGGAGAAGGAUGCUUUUUGAUUUCAUUUAAUCAACGAGCAAAACUGAAAACUGGACUUGAAGUUCAACCGAGUUUUUCGAUUUCUCAGCAUAAGAGAAACAGGAAGAUUCUGGAAGAUAUUCAUUCGUAUUUCAAGUGUGGAGGAAUUCAUUUUUCAAAGCGGGAUCAGAAUUAUAAAUGGGAAGUUCGAAGCCUUUCGGAUAUUCUCACAAAGAUAAUUCCUCAUUUUGAAAAAUACCAACUGAAAACCAAAAAGAAAGAUGAUUUUCUUAUAUUUAGAGAAAUCUGUUUCUUAAUGAAAGAGUCGAAGCAUUUAAAUGCUAAGUAUCUCUCUGAGAUAAUAGAUAAAGCGUAUAUAAUGAAUGAAUCUGGGAAAAGGAAAUAUACAAAAUCAAAACUUCUAAGGAUAUUGAAUAAGAAGAUGAGAUAGUCUAAUCAGCCAUGAAAAUGGUCGUAAAGUUACUUUUAUAUAAAAGUAAUUCCUCAAAUGAAGUUCCGACCCGCACGAAAGGUGUAACGAACGGGGUACUGUCUCAACGAAGGACUCGGCGAAAUUGAACUAUGCGUGAAGAUGCGCAUUACCUACAGCAGGACAAAAAGACCCCGUGGAGCUUUACUGUAACUUGACAUUGGGUUAGGGCUUGGUUUGUGUAGGAUAGCUGGGAGACUUUGAAGCUAGGGCGUCAGCCUUGGUGGAGUCGUCCUUGAAAUACCAGCCUAACCAAGUUUUGGCUCUAAUCGUCUACCGUGAAUCCGGUGACGUAACAGUGUCAGGUAGACAGUUUGACUGGGGCGGUCGCCUCCUAAAGAGUAGCGGAGGCGCCCAAAGGUUCCCUCAGGCUGAAUGGAAACCAGUCGGAGAGUGUAAAGGUAAAAGGGAGCUUGACUGCAAGACAGACACGUCAAGCAGGGACGAAAGUCGGGCUUAGUGAUCCCACGUUUCUGAGUGGCAGGGACGUGGCCUAACGGAUAAAAGCUACCCCGGGGAUAACAGGCUAGUCUCCCCCAAGAGUCCACAUCGACGGGGAGGCUCGGCACCUCGAUGUCGGCUCGUCGCAUCCUGGGGCUGGAGUAGGUCCCAAGGGUUGGGCUGUUCGCCCAUUAAAGCGGUACGCGAGGACCGGGGUGGACAGACCGCUGGUGUACCAGUUGUCUCGCCAGAGGCAUAGCUGGGUAGCUAAGUCUGGAAAAGAUAACCGCUGAAAGCAUCUAAGUGGGAAACUUGCUCCAAGAUGACAUCAGCCAUCCCCUUGAGGGAGUAAGACCGCUGAGAGAUUAUCAGUUUAGAUAGGCGGCAUGUGGAAGCAUGGUAACAUGUGAAGCAAAGUCGUACUAAUGGUCGAGGGCUUAUCAUU